rnacentral:rRNA from 1 species
UUGAGYUUGAUCMUGGCUCAGAUUGAACGCUGGCGGCAGGCCUAACACAUGCAAGUCGAGCGGAAACGAUGGAAGCUUGCUUCCAGGCGUCGAGCGGCGGACGGGUGAGUAAUGCAUGGGAAUCUGCCCGAUAGUGGGGGAUAACCUGGGGAAACCCAGGCUAAUACCGCAUACGUCCUACGGGAGAAAGCAGGGGAUCUUCGGACCUUGCGCUAUCGGAUGAGCCCAUGUCGGAUUAGCUUGUUGGUGAGGUAAUGGCUCACCAAGGCGACGAUCCGUAGCUGGUCUGAGAGGAUGAUCAGCCACAUCGGGACUGAGACACGGCCCGAACUCCUACGGGAGGCAGCAGUGGGGAAUAUUGGACAAUGGGCGAAAGCCUGAUCCAGCCAUGCCGCGUGUGUGAAGAAGGCCCUCGGGUUGUAAAGCACUUUCAGUGGGGAAGAAAGCCUUGGGAUUAAUACUCCCGAGGAAGGACAUC